AGCAGCGCCGGGUCCCGGGUGGAGGUGCUCCUAGCGGUGCUGUUUCUCCACCAGUGGCAGUUCUUACUGCAGCGUCAGGACGAGUCCAGCUCAUGUUCGUCCACGGAGAUCUCUGUCAUCUCGCUCGGCUGCAGGAAAUCAGGCUGAAGAGACUGACUCUGUGAUGGAGAGAGAAAAGGAACUGUAAACUCUUUAUUGGUGGCUUAAGCUUUAAAACCACAGAGGAAACUUUGAGGAACUGCUACGAGCAAUGGGGAAAACUUACAGACUGUGUGGCCAUGAGAGAUCCUGCAAGCAAACGAUCAAGAGGAUCUGGUUUUGUAACCUUUUCAUCCAUGGCUGAGGUUGAUGCUGCCAUGGCUGCAAGACCUCAUUCGAUUGAUGGGAGAGUGGCUGAGCCAAAAAGUGCUGUAGCAAGAGAGGAGUCUGGAAAACCAGGGGCUCAUGUAACUGUGAAGAGGCUGUUUGUUGGUGGAAUUAAGGAAGAUACUGAGGAGCAUCACCUUAGAGAUUACUUUGAGGAGUAUCGAAAAAUCGAUACCAUUGAGAUAGUUACUAAUAGGCAGUCUGGAAUGAAAAGAGGCUUUGGCUUUGUUACUUUUGAUGACUAUGAUCCUGUGGAUAAAAUUGUAUUGCAGAAAUACCAUACCAUAACCAUAAUGCUAUUUAAUAACAUUACCUUACUGUGGAGGAAGGAUUGUAAAAAAAAUGCCUUUGAGACAGUUUCUUAG